CUGGCUGGUUCAUCUCCCCUCUCCCUCCCCUGGCUCCUGAGCUAAAUGAGCCUUUCCUGAAAGUCACGGGAGUUGGGUGAGAUUGGAGAGAGCGCGGGGAGAGGCGGGGAGCGGGAGGUGAGAGAUGGCAGAGCACAGAGCAGGACACGGCCCGGCACAGGAGGGAGGGCUGCCUCCUGAAAAUGAGCUCCGAGACCUUCCCCGGGAGCAGCAGAGCCCUGCACAGCCCACUCUGCCAGUGCUGGGACACGGAACGAGGUUUUUACUGCGGUUCCUGAAUAUCGACAUGUUCUGCAUGGCUGCAUCAGAGGGAAUGUCUGUUGGACAUCUGCUGUGACACAAGCAGCUCCUGCCCUCAGCAGUGAUCAGUGGUGCUGUGAUUGCCUCCAGCUCACCCUGCACACGUGGAUAAAGGGUUGGAAGAGCAGCAGUGACCUCCCUCUGCUCUCCAAACAUCCAGCAGCACUCUCCAGUGCUUCCAAAAGCAGCCUGGGUUCAGAAUUCACCGUGUGUCUGGAGGCAAUGAACCCACCCAGCCUCCACAAAUCAACAAAUACCGUGAUGUGUUAUCAAAUUAAAGAUUGGAAAUUGAAGCGUUUCUUGUAAAGUGUGAUCCUCGCCUUGGUCUGUGCAUUUGGAAAAAUCAAUAAAAUAAUGUGCAACAACCAUGCAGGGUUUCUU
rnacentral:lncRNA from 12 species